GGCUUGGUGGCGUAAUGGUAACGCGCUCCAUGUACCUGACGUUUUCAUAUCGGCUGAUGGAGGGUUCGGAGUUCGAUUCUCCGUCAAGCCA